rnacentral:rRNA from 1 species
UACGUAGGGUGCGAGCGUUGUCCGGAAUUAUUGGGCGUAAAGAGCUCGUAGGCGGUUUGUCGCGUCGACUGUGAAAACUGGGGGCUUAACUCUCAGCUUGCAGUUGAUACGGGCAGACUUGAGUUCGGUAGGGGAGACUGGAAUUCCUGGUGUAGCGGUGAAAUGCGCAGAUAUCAGGAGGAACACCGGUGGCGAAGGCGGUUCUCUGGGCAUGUCCUGACGCUGAGGAGCGAAAGUGUGGGGAGCGAACAGG